rnacentral:misc_RNA from 1 species
GAACGCACAUUGCGCCCCCUGGUAUUCCGGGGGGCACACCUGUUCGAGCGCCAUUACAACCCUCAAGCCUUGCUUGGUGAUGGGCCCCGCCCGUGUGGCGGGCCCGAAACUCGUGGGCGCCCCCAGCCGGACUCCAAGCGUAGCAAAACCCUCGCUUGUGGACGACCGGUCGGAGGCCGCCCCGGACCCCAAAUUUUUAUCAAUGGUUGGCCUCGGAUCAGGUGGGGAUACCCGCUGAACUUAAG